UACCUGCAGCUCAAGUGGUGGCCGCUAUUAUUGGGCCUAAAACGUUCGUAGCCUGCUGAGUAAAUGCUUGGGUAAAUCGUGCCGCUUAACGGUACGAAUUCCGGGUAGACUGCUCAGCUUGAGACCGGGAGAAGCUAGAGGUACUCCUGGGGUAGAGGUGAAAUUCUGUAAUCCUGGGGGGACCACCAGUGGCGAAGGCGUCUAGCUAGAACGGGUCUGACGGUGAGGGACGAAACCCUGGGGCGCAAACCGGAUUAGAUACCCGGGUAGUCCAGGGCGCAAACGCUGCUUGCUUGAUGUUAGCUGGGCUCCGGGCUCGGCUAGUGUCGGAGAGAAGUUGUUAAGCAAGCUGCCUGGGAAGUACGAUCGCAAGAUUGAAACUUAAAGGAAUUGGCGGGGGAGCACAGCAACGGGUGGAGCGUGCGGUUU
rnacentral:rRNA from 1 species